GAUGAAGAACGUAGCGAAAUGCGAUAAGUAAUGUGAAUUGCAGAAUUCAGUGAAUCAUCGAAUCUUUGAACGCACAUUGCGCCCCCUGGUAUUCCGGGGGGCACGCCUGUCCGAGCGUCAUUUCAACCCUCAAGCCCCCGGCUUGACGUUGGGCGCGGCCCCUCCCUCGGGGGGGGCCCGCCUGAAACCCCUCGGCGUCGCCGUCCGUCCCAGAGCGCAGCGAGUUUUCUGCCCGCGCUACUGGACCGGGCCGCUGGCCGCCGGUGAAUCCAUUUUCUCAAGGUUGACCUCGGAUCAGGUGGGGAUACCCGCUGAACUUAAGCAUAUCAAUAAGCGGAGGA
rnacentral:misc_RNA from 1 species